AAAGAUUUGAAUUUAAUAUCAAGUUAAAAACCGAACAGCAGAGUGUAAAUUCUUUCUGCAACAAUAUGAUUUUCCUUUCUUUGUCGAAGUGGCUCGAGUAACUACAUUUUAGCGCUGAUUGUCAAUGUUUAGGUUUUUCAUUAGAUCCACCUACGAGAUCUCGCGAUAACAAGCAUGGCGGAGCAGACGAAGAAUUUUGCAUGUUGUACAUUAUAUUUAAUGAAAAACACCUUUAUUAGACAUGCCCGAGCACAAAGUUGGUACUCCUUUUGGUGUAAACAACAUUUGGGACUAAUACACAGAGUUUAUUAUCGGUUAUUCAUAAAAUUAUUUUGCACCAUUACGGAGAUUCUAUGGAAUUGUAGCCUUAUCCCGAAAAACGUCAGAAUAAAAAAAAUUGGAUAGGGCUACAUUAUUGCAGCUACUAUGGGUAGAGAAUGAAAAUAACACACGUGGUUUAUUUGCCCCCCACCCCCCGGCAAAACGUCAUUAACGCACAUUUAUAUGUAUUUACACAUAAUACCGUGUAUGUGCCUGUACAGGGAGUGUGGUAUGUAUAAAACAACAAUAAUUCAUGAUCAACAAGUUAAACAUCUUGUGUUUGAUUUAUUAUUUUGACUUAUUGACCACAGCACUCCAAUCCUAAAUAAGGGGGACUUCUGGCAGUUAAUCUCUAAACUAAAUACUUGUAUCUUAACAUUUAGAUUAAUAAUGAGAUGGCCUUAAUUCCAUUCAAGCAUAGAUUCUCUGUUAGCCUUUUAGCUAUGUCAUUGCUGAAAAUAAUCUAGAAAACAGACUAUUUGGGUGACCAACAAAAACGGAUCAGAGAUGCUGAUAGAGUGAUAUAAAACUGUCCCUGUGUCAAAUGAUAGAUUGCUGGAUGCAUCGCUUUGUGACCAAAGCCGAACACAAGAUGUGGAGUGGACCAUGGAAACUCUGAAAUAUGUGAAACAGAGAUCAAGGACCCGGAGUUCUAUGUGAAACAGGGGACCAGGACCCGGAGUUCUAUGUGAAACAGGGGACCAGGACCCGGAGUUCUAUGUGAAACAGGGGACCAGGACCCGGAGUUCUAUGUGAAACAGAGAUCAAGGACCCGCAGUUCUAUGUGAAACAGAGAUCAAGGACCCGAAGUUCUAUGUGAAACAGUUGACAAGGACCCGGGGUUCUAUGUGAUACAUUAGCUGCAGAACUGUAGCUCUCUAAAAAAUAUUAUAACGAAACAGAGAGCUACAGAUCCACCUUUUAUAAAAACCUUCGAUAUACGGAGCACUAAAAGCUGCGCACGGUUGAGGCCUGAUAUCGUUGUAUUCUUGUGUUGCUGGCUCAUAAAUUUAAUAUGAAAAAAUUCUGAACAUUACUGUUUACUUUAAUGCAUAUAAUAUUAUAGCAUUUUCAACAAGAUGAAUGAUUCUACUAAAUAUAUAUCAUUAAAUAUUUGAACUUUCAAAAAUAAAACACAAGUACUUGAAGUAUAAGUCAAA